GCGAGAGUGGCGAAACUGGCAGACGCGCUGGAUUUAGGUUCCAGUCCCGCAAGGGGUGCAGGUUCAAGUCCUGUCUCUCGCA
rnacentral:tRNA from 1 species